UCCCAGCCAGGGUCAGUGUCUUUCCCUCCAGGAAGCUCCCUACAUAGCUCCAUUUACCAGAUAGCCCCAUUGACUAGAUCUUUCCCUGCAAAAGGCUUCUGGUAGAGCAUCAGAGGUGCCACACAGAGACACAGCAGGCGCAAACACCAUACAGGACACUGCGGUUGAGCUCCCUGGGGUGGGGCAGGGCUCAGAUGAAGGAGGCUGAGUUUGCCUUUGGUGGGAGUGUGACAGUGUCACCCAUCCCCACCAAACAGAGCCUGAGGAACUGGGUCAACCCACAGGACGCACUCUCAAGGCUGUUGCUGCAGUGUGUGGAUGUUUGUCGCCCAGCCUCUCUUGGAGACACCAGGUCAGCGAACCGUGACACACAGGGACCUGAUGAGUCUCCCAAAUAUAAGGACAGGAAAGAGGUCAGAUCAGGGGAGAGACUCCAGCUCUGUGAUAUUCUAGAACUGCCCAGGUAAUGAACACUUGCAUCAAUUAGGAUGACAGUGGCUUACAGAAC
rnacentral:lncRNA from 1 species